rnacentral:rRNA from 1 species
GAGUUUGAUCAUGGCUCAGAUUGAACGCUGGCGGCAUGCCUUACACAUGCAAGUCGAACGGCAGCACGGGAGCUUGCUCCUGGUGGCGAGUGGCGAACGGGUGAGUAAUGCAUCGGAACGUAUCCUGGAGUGGGGGAUAACGUAGCGAAAGUUACGCUAAUACCGCAUAUUCUGUGAGCAGGAAAGCGGGGGACCUUCGGGCCUCGCGCUCUUGGAGCGGCCGAUGUCGGAUUAGCUAGUUGGUGAGGUAAAGGCUCACCAAGGCGACGAUCCGUAGCAGGUCUGAGAGGAUGAUCUGCCACACUGGAGCUGAGACACGGUCCAGACUCCUACGGGAGGCAGCAGUGGGGAAUUUUGGACAAUGGGGGCAACCCUGAUCCAGCCAUGCCGCGUGAGUG